rnacentral:rRNA from 1 species
CGCGUAGGCGGUUUGGACAGUCAGGCGUGAAAUUCCCGGGCUUAACCUGGGGGCUGCGCUUGAUACAUCCAGGCUUGAGUGAGGAAGAGGGUCGUGGAAUUCCCAGUGUAGAGGUGAAAUUCGUAGAUAUUGGGAAGAACACCGGUGGCGAAGGCGGCGACCUGGUCCUUUACUGACGCUGAGGCGCGAAAGCGUGGGGAGCAAACAGGAUUAGAUACCCUGGUAGUCCACGCUGUAAACGAUGUGUGCUGGAUGUUGGGUGACCUAGUCACUCAGUGUCGUAGCUAACGCGGUAAGCACACCGCCUGGGGAGUACGGCCGCAAGGUUGAA